rnacentral:rRNA from 1 species
CCUACGGGAGGCAGCAGUGGGGAAUAUUGGGCAAUGGGCGCAAGCCUGACCCAGCAACGCCGCGUGAAGGAAGAAGGCUUUCGGGUUGUAAACUUCUGUUGGCAGGGAAGAGUAGAAGACGGUACCUGACGAAUAAGCCACGGCUAACUACGUGCCAGCAGCCGCGGUAAUACGUAGGUGGCAAGCGUUGUCCGGAUUUACUGGGUGUAAAGGGCGUGUAGCCGGGUUGACAAGUCAGAUGUGAAAUCCUGCGGCUUAACCGCAGAACUGCAUUUGAAACUGUUGAUCUUGAGUACUGGAGAGGCAGGUGGAAUUCCUAGUGUAGCGGUGAAAUGCGUAGAUAUUAGGAGGAACACCAGUGGCGAAGGCGGUCUGCUGGACAGCAACUGACAGUGAGGCGCGAAAGCGUGGGGAGCAAACAGGAUUAGAUACCCCUGUAGUC